AAUGGCGGCGCGCUGUUUCACAAAUGCGUUCAUUCAAUACCAGUUUCUCCAGAUGAAAACUCCUUUUGAAAGUGAUGUAAACAACCUUACAACCAUGGCGAAAAAAAAUACUCCAUCACCGGAGCAUGAGCGAAGAUUAGCUAUUCUUCAGUGUCUCCAUGCUGGACGAACUCCGGCUGCAAUUAUAAACUUUCUUGGUUACCCGCAAUCGACGGUAUAUCGCAUCGCAUCGAAGUAUUGGGCUGCAAAAGAUGAAAAAGUAGGUAUGAGCACAGCACAGAGGAAAGCCCACGACAGACAAAAAACAGCCAGGACUCCAGAGUUAAUCGAUGCGGUUCAAAAAUGCAUUUCUAAUGAUCGGUCUAUUUCGAUCAGGGCGUUAGCGAAAAAAUUUGAAGUAAGUGGGCGUACCAUGGCACGGAUUGUUCACGAAGACCUCAGGGAGCAAAGUAUUCAAGCGAAGGCGUCUGGAACCACCAAGAAAGUGCCAUUAGUUGAAGCCAAGGGUGGCCACCUUGAGACCAGAGUGGCUAAAACUAAGAGUGAAAAAGGCCGUGAUAACACAGCGGAUUGAAACGCUGUUUUAAAAGUUCGUUGUAAAACCGCAGGGUUGGUCGAGGAAGAUUUGACUUCAUCCUCUAUGGCAUAUGAGCAUCAUGACUUCUCAGCGAACAAGUCAGACGAAGCUGUUUUCCAAAGGACCAGACGACAGGAUUAAGGCAAAUCUCUUUGGUUUGAUAAUUGUUUUAAACGACAAUUUAGAUUGAGUUCCAAACCACACAGCUUCCCGAGGCCAUUGACUUGUCAAAGGCAAUCAGUAACUUAGAGCGUACAAACCGAACAUUAACUUUGUGAUUCUUAUCGACGAUGUAUCAUAUCUACUGCGCAGUCUCACAUCUCGUGACAGCUGCGUAUCGACUUCAUCAUUGGAACCCUGUAUCACAGAUAGCAUUCGUUGUUCACGGUCUUUCUGAGGGUAUAGUAUUUGUUCUAUAUUUGUAGAUGUAUGAGUAGUUGAGAAAAAAGUUAUUCUAUGUGUAUCGUACCAAUUUUAUUUAUUAAUAAGCGAUCUCGCGGGUUGUGCAAAUGAUAACGACAUCUGCAAUACGAUGUGUACCGUUGUAUUUUGUAACGAAAUGUAACAAAGAUGUAUAUUGAGUGAACUUAACUUCUUUUCUUAAAUACCACUGUAAGUUAGUUCAUCAUUUCAUCACGAACGCAUUAAACCUGAAUAGCCAUAGAAAUAGGAUAGUUGGGAUUCUCAGAGACACAUUGAUUGAAUAAGAAAUUUUCACAAAUAACGUGGAACCAGAAGUUCUUUUCUUGUCGGGCGAUCUAGGAUGUACACCUUAUCGGUAAUUCUAUGGAUCUAGCAGAAUGUAAUUAGGACAAGUUUCUAUAAUAAUACUUACACAUAAUCUUUAAUGAAUACCCUUUGAAUUUUUAUAAUAUGGCAUAAGAGACUGAACCCCAAAUUAUAACUCUUUAGGUAUACUGAUAAUAAAAUUAAGCGAUCAUAGAGCCAAACGUUUUAGUGAGGGUUUUUAGGUAAACAGUUAUAAUGGUGUUUUCCAAGUGUGUUUGCUACCGAAAUGACUCACAGCGUUUGACGAAGCUCAACGCAUGUGUAGGUGUAGUAUGAUAAUUCUGCUAGAAGAAAAAAGCUAAACAUCAUCGUCAAUAAAUGACCGUCUGACGGUCCAUUUUCCCGUGAUGCUACCCUAAUAGAUCGAAACGGAAUGGUUCAUUUUUAGUCCAAAAUGCCAUGCUCUUGCCGUACCCACACAUCUCUAUUUAGAUUUAGAUUUAUUCUCUAUUCAGCUGUCUGACGGAACGCCUAACGGCAGAAUCGGACGUAAAACUCAAACCAUUUAUGCUUCGUUUAUUUAUGUAUAUAUAUAUAUAUAUAUAUAAAUACCGUAACGCCGUUAAAUAAAAGCGCAAAAUGGAUGCACCGAAGGGAACCGUCUUUGCGUGCCAUCCGCCGAAGUUGCUUGCGGUUGCCUCUGAAGGUAAGGAAGUUUUCUGUUAGCGAAUCAGAAUUCGCGCUUCCAUACAAAACACUCCUCGUAAAAACUCGCUCGACCUGAGAGAUCGGCAUUUCAUAGACCUACUAAGCAGAGGCAGCGUCACAAAACCGUUGGCGGCAGACGCUAGUAAUGUUUCGCAAGCGAAUUUUAAAUAGUCGUGUUCGGGUCUUAACGCCCGACGGAGCUAAUCUCCUGGCAGUGACCAGAAUUGUUAAAAAAAGUCUGUUUCAUAGUAGAUUUUUUGGUAGCUCGUUUCACGUUUAACAAAAAAGCAAUAGCAAUGGCCAUGUCAAAAAACUCGACUACAGUCAUUUUUAUGGAUUUUUUUGAAACAAUAUUCGGACUUAUAUAGGGUCCACGAGUAGCACACAAAAGUUAAUGUUGGGUCCAUAACUUUGCACGGGCAAGUUUAUCAAAGAGAAAAUAAAUCGGCCGUUAGAAAACUGCUACAACCAUUUGUCUCACAAAUGUUUCACUUCAAAGACCAAGCGUUACAGCCGUUCCCUCGAACAUAACUAAUAGAAGCAUAUCAAACCCAAAUCAAAGACAAACGUUUCCCGUGGCUUUACACAAUUUAUUUAAUGCCGACUAUUUAUUUUACUAUUGUUAUUCCGAUUAGCUGAUAUUUUACAGUCUUCCCAAGAACCACUAACCGCUACUGUUUUUUAAUCUUAGAUUAGUCGUAUUCUUCUUGUAGCCAGGUUUGCUGGACAAGAAAAAUAGGGCACUUUCAGAGACCUUCAACGUCCGUAUAGUGGGUCCAUCCCUGAGAACUUGUGGACAUCGGGGCAGGACAAUGCAGGUUUUAUCACCGAUUAUUUUUUAAGGUAAAUUCCCCGCGACGGUGCAGUAAUAAUGUGUUGUUCUAUUAAUUGGACGGACACAGAAGCUAUUAAAUCUUGAAUUUGGUAUUAAUUAAUGCUUGAAAAAGAUGUCCCUUUGCUACAAUCAUUAAUGUUAAGCUCCAUAAUCACGCAACAAACACGUAAAACAUCGUCGUUUUUGGAAUUGAAUAGAUGAAACUGCUAAGUAAAAGAUCCUCUAAAAACGUACCAAGACAACGCUCUUCAAGGACUUAUUCGUUGUGGUACUAAAUACCACAUAAUGCUAUGAUUUUAUUAAUAUUCUACUUUCCUUUCAUUAGAGCAAUAGGGGGCGAUAAAAUACUGUGACAUUAGCGUUUUAUUAUUGGUUUAUUAGGUGCCGACGUGUGCCUGCAGAAUGAAUAUCACUUGUUCUAGAGUUUUACCAUGCUCUCAGAGUACAUCUACAGACACUCGUUAACUCAAAAUGCUCAAAAUGGAACUUCUCUAGGAGCAGGUUUUUAUGAAAUUAGGUCCUCAUAGCCCCUCGCCACGAUCAUCUAGUAUGCCUACUAGAUGCCCAAAUUCGUCAAGCUUUCGCGUCCGUCAAUCUUCUAGCAACUAGCACUCCUUAAUAAUGUAGAACAUAAAUACUAUUCGUGUUGACUAGUGAAAUAACCGCCACGCAGAGUGUCUUGUUGGGCGAUACGUUGGAGUGGCAGAGACCUAUACGUAAGGUUGAAAUCCUUAUUUUCCACACCUUUUUUUGCAUUUGUACAAAUGUAAACAUUAUUUGUAUAAAUAAUUUAUUGUUAUGCUUUAGAAAGGUAUUUUCAUAUGUACCAAUAAUAACUUAUCGAACGAUACUUAAAGCGAUUCCUUUUGGGGGUCAAUUGAUUGUAGCGGCAUCUGCAAUACGAUGCAUGCCAGAGUGUCUUGUGACAAAAUCUAAAUAAAUAAAUCAAUGCCAUUAUUUUGAAAUAUCAUCAAGUAGUUACUAUAGCCAGGUAAUAAUUUCUAUUGCAUAAACGAAGUUGGAUCAUCGGAUUUUGUGUCUUUCCGAACGCGCCUCUGAAAGAUUACGACAAUAACAGAAUUUUCUGUAUUUAGUUGUAUAGAUUGAUGCUAGAUAUGUCACAGAUAGGGAAACAACGAAAUAUAAGGAGCUACCUUACUGGAAAACAACUGAAAAAUUUAAAAAAAAAAGAACAAGUGUAAGCCAUGUUAAUCAAUCUACUAAUUCAACAAAGCGUUUGUAUGAUAUUGUUUACAACUAAUUUCUAGGACCAUUAAGAAAUUUGUAACUUUUUUUUGCAGUGCGCUCUAAAAGAUUAACAAGUCAAUCUAGCAUGAUGACGACGAUGCUUAGAUAAGCUCGAAUUAGGGCCGAGUAGGAUUCUGAAGUAAAACGGUUUUAUUGAAGUUCCUUAACUUUGCUUACGAGCGAAGGAACCGUUAGAGCCAAAAGCGACUCCACACAGUUUUAAGCGCAGUAUUACUAUGCAUACAAGAAGUCAGAGAAAACGUUACCUUUACUAAAUAGGCAAUAAUCUGGGGCCGUUCUCCCGUAAUGCCCAUUUAUCACACUCUUCACUUCAGCAACUUCGACGGGCCAUUAAAUUCAACAAUGAAACGAGAAAAUAAGUGGUUUGUUUAAUUCAAGUCCAAUAUGACGUAUUAUUGAUCACGCCCACGAAGUUGUAUGCAUAGACUUCGUAAUGCCGUCGCAUAAUGGUACAAAAAGAUGCCUCAGAGACAAUAAUUGUUACACGCUGCUUAUUUAGACUGCCUUUAAUCUAUGCCUCGGUUGCUGAGCUUCCUGUUGGGUGCCAUGUCUCUUUUGAUACGUCGAGCGAAGGCCCGCACGGCUUAAAGCCCUAGUACUUAAAUAUUUUCUAGAAAAGGACCGUUCUGGAAAGUGGCUGUUAAAAACAGCUGUAGGGUUUUUAACAACUGUGUUUCACAUUUUCGCACUCGACGUUUUUAUUGAGCUAAUCUCCUAGCGCAAACAAAGUGUAUCGUGACUCUCAUAUUAUAUAUAUAAUAUGACAAAAACGGCGUGCUGUUCUAAUAACUGUAGACCAGAAUCUACAACGUUUGAUAGGAAAGCGGCAUAUCGCAAACGCAUGGAGAUAAUUGGUGGAUCGAUGGUUUUAACAAUUUGCCUAAGAAGAAGAUUAUAUAAGGCCGUAUUGCAAUAUGGUCGGAUGUUUUUCGAGGUUACGAGCCAAUAAUAAAGUCAUAUAGAAUGGGGGAGUUGCGCGCUUUUAUUAAUGCGCUCAUUCGAAGCCCAGACUACUAGAUGAAAACUCGUUCCGAAAAUCAUGUAAACAAGCCAACAGUCAUGGCGAAAAAAAGUACUUCAUCACCGGAAUAUGAGCGAAGAUUAGCCAUUGUCCAAUGUCUUCACGCCGGGCGAACUCCGG
rnacentral:lncRNA from 1 species